AGUGAACGCUGGCGGCAGGCCUAACACAUGCAAGUCGAGCGGCAGCGCGGGGGCAACCCUGGCGGCGAGCGGCGGACGGGUGAGGAAUUCGUCGGAAUCUGCCUUUUUGUGGGGGAUAACGUAGGGAAACUUACGCUAAUACCGCAUCCGUCCUACUGUAGAACGUGAUGGACCGCAAGGCCUCACGCAGAAAGCUGAGCCUACGACGGAUUAGCUAGUUGGUUGGGUAAAGGCCCACCAAGGCGACGAUCGGUAGCUGGUCUGAGUGGAUGAUCAGCCACACUGGGACUGAGACACGGCCCAGACUCCUACGGGAGGCAGCAGUGGGGAAUCUUGGACAAUGGGCGAAAGCCUGAUCCAGCAAUGCCGCGUGUGUGAAGAAGGCCUUCGGGUUGUAAAGCACUUUUGUCAGGAAAGAAAAACCUGGAGAUAAUACAUUCGGGGGAUGACGGUACCGGAAGAAUAAGCACCGGCUAACUUCGUG
rnacentral:rRNA from 1 species